GGAAAAUGAUGGUGUCAAUCAUCAAAUGGCCAAAUAAAAAGAGGUUCAAGGAUGGGGGGUUCAUCAGCAACCUCACAUCUUGGUAAAGAUUUAGGUAGAAGAAGGACUAAUUGAUCCUUUAAUUUAGCAUCAUGGACACCUUUUGGUGACAUUUAUAAGAGCAAUUUCAAUGGUGGCGUUAGAGGCCCAGUGUGUUCAAGGAAAAAUGUUAUCAAGGAGCCACAGACAAAGAACAAAGACUACUCUUUUUAGGAUCUUUUCUGAAAUGGGGAACGGAGAAAUGGGGGAGUUGUUUAAAGAGUAUGCAUGACUUAGAGUAACAGUGUUUUUAAAUCAAGGGAAAUUCCAGAACAUUUUUAUUAUUCUAGAAUGAUUUAAGAGAGUAGGAAAAUUAUGUGGAAGACAAUGCUCAUAAUUAUUAGAGCAGACAAUGCUCAUAAUUAUUAGAGCUACACCCUGAGCAAGUAAGCAAAGCAGUGAGAAAAGUGAGCCUCAGAUGAGUGGUUGGCCUUCAGCAGGAACAUGGACAGCUCAUCCACAGUAAUGGGAGGGGGCAGGGGGAUGAUUGUCCUGUUGGGAAAUGUGGAACUUCUUCCUGACCCAUCCUGGUUUACUCAUUAAAUGUGCCUCAAGGUCAUCGGAUGAAAGAGAAGAUUGGAAGAAGCUACUGAAGGUAAAGCAGAAAUAUAAGGGAUAAUUCCUCAACUACAGUGGACAGAGUUGGAAUCUGAGCCAAGCGGAGCAGUCAUGCUGAGUUCAGGAAGCCUCACUGCUAAAUGCCACCUAUCAAAGUGGCC
rnacentral:lncRNA from 1 species